rnacentral:rRNA from 1 species
GACGAACGCUGGCGGCGUGCUUAACACAUGCAAGUCGAACGGAAAGGCCUGCUUUCCCUUGUGGAUUGCGGGUACUCGCGUGGCGAACGGGUGAGUAACACGUGAGUGAUCUGCCCCCAACUUGGGUAUAAGCCUGGGAAACUGGGUCUAAUUCCCGAUAGGACUGCAGGGUGGUGCCUGUGGUGGAAAACGAUUUUCUAGUGGUCGGGGAUGAGCUCGCGGCCUAUCAGCUUGUUGGUGGGGUAAUGGCCUACCAAGGCGGCGACGGGUAGCCGGCCGGGGAGGGUGGGCGGCCACGUUGGGGCUGAGAUACGGCCCAGACGCCUACGGGAGGCAGCAGUGGGGAAUAAUGCACAAGGGGCGGAAGCCUGAGGCAGCGACGCCGCGUGGGGGAUGACGGCCUUCGGGUGGUAAACUCCUUGCGACCGCGAGGAAGCCACCUGGUUGGAAGGGUGGUGACGGUAGUGGUAGAAGAAGCACCGGCUAACUACGUG